rnacentral:rRNA from 1 species
UACGAAGGGGGCUAGCGUUGCUCGGAAUUACUGGGCGUAAAGCGCGCGUAGGCGGGUCGUUAAGUCGGGGGUGAAAUCCUGGAGCUCAACUCCAGAACUGCCUUCGAUACUGGCGAUCUUGAGUCCGGGAGAGGUGAGUGGAACUCCGAGUGUAGCGGUGAAAUGCGUAGAUAUCUGGAGGAACACCGGUGGCGAAGGCGGCAUCCUGGACCAACACUGACGCUGAGUGAGCGAAAGCCAGGGGAGCAAACGGG